CUACGGGUUGCACCAGUGAGGAAUAUUGCACAAUGGGGGGAACCCUGAUGCAGCAACGCCGCGUGGAGGAUGACGCAUUUCGGUGUGUAAACUCCUUUUAUAUGUCAAGAAAAUGACGGUAGCAUAUGAAUAAGCACCGGCUAACUCCGUGCCAGCAGCCGCGGUAAUACGGAGGGUGCAGGCGUUACUCGGAAUCACUGGGCGUAAAGGACGCGUAGGCGGGUUGGAAAGUCAGGUGUGAAAUCCUACAGCUUAACUGUAGAACUGCACUUGAAACUUCUAAUCUAGAGUAUGGGAGGGGGAGAUGGAAUUAGUGGUGCAGGGGUAAAAUCCGUAGAUAUCACUAGGAAUACCUAAAGCGAAGGCGAUCUCCUGGAACAUUACUGACGCUAAGGCGUGAAAGCGUGGGGAGCAAACAGGAUUAGAUACCCCCGUAGUC
rnacentral:rRNA from 1 species